CUUUAUGAGUGGCCAAUUAUAAACAUUUCAAAGAGAAUUCGAAAUCAAGUUUUGAAGGCUCCAAGUCUGGUGGCUUCUGGGCUCCUAAUAGGCCUCGCCUGGACUUCUAUAGCAGCCUCAGGCAGCUCCGUGGUGCGGUUGCGGCGCUGGCUGACUGAAGUGCGUGCCCGAGUCGCUUUUGAGCAGAGCUCUAUGCCAUCCCUGGACCUCUGCAGAAUUAGCCAUGAAAGAACGUGACCUAUUUCCCUCCUGGAAAGUCUGUGAGGAUCCUUGGAGGCGACUUCCAAAACUAGGAGCAGCAGAAUCGGCUUCCAUCCAACAAAUGACCCAGCAGCAGUGGGCCAGCAGCCACCGAAAUGACAUCUGUUAACUCUUUGUCAAAUGCCCUCUCCCAUCUCCCAAACAGCUCUGUGGUUAAUUAUGACUUGAGCGUCUGACACAAGUCUUUCGAGUGGAUAGACCUGCUUAGGAAAAAUCUGGCUCCAAGAAAAGAAAUUCC